UGUGCCAGCAGCCGCGGUAAUACGUAUGUCACAAGCGUUAUCCGGAUUUAUUGGGCGUAAAGCGCGUCUAGGUGGUUAUGUAAGUCUGAUGUGAAAAUGCAGGGCUCAACUCUGUAUUGCGUUGGAAACUGUGUAACUAGAGUACUGGAGAGGUAAGCGGAACUACAAGUGUAGAGGUGAAAUUCGUAGAUAUUUGUAGGAAUGCCGAUGGGGAAGCCAGCUUACUGGACAGAUGCUGACGCUGAAGCGCGAAAGCGUGGGUAGCAAACAGGAUUAGAUA
rnacentral:rRNA from 1 species